rnacentral:rRNA from 1 species
AGAGUUUGAUCCUGGCUCAGGACGAACGCUGGCGGCGUGCUUAACACAUGCAAGUCGAACGAAAAGAGGGAAAGAGCUUGCUCUUUCCGGAAUUGAGUGGCAAACGGGUGAGUAACACGUAAACAACCUGCCUUCAGGAUGGGGACAACAGACGGAAACGACUGCUAAUACCGAAUAAGUUCCAAGGGCCGCAUGGCCCAUGGAAGAAAAGGUGGCCUCUACCUGUAAGCUAUCGCCUGAAGAGGGGUUUGCGUCUGAUUAGCUGGUUGGAGGGGUAACGGCCCACCAAGGCGACGAUCAGUAGCCGGUCUGAGAGGAUGAACGGCCACACUGGAACUGAGACACGGUCCAGACUCCUACGGGAGGCAGCAGUGGGGAAUCUUCCGCAAUGGGCGAAAGCCUGACGGAGCAACGCCGCGUGAGUGAUGACGGCCUUCGGGUUGUAAAACUCUGUGAUCCGGGACGAAAAGGCAGAGUGCGAAGAACAAACUGCAUUGACGGUACCGGAAAAGCAAGCCACGGCUAACUACGUGCCAGCAGCCGCGGUAAUACGUAGGUGGCAAGCGUUGUCCGGAAUUAUUGGGCGUAAAGCGCGCGCAGGCGGCUUCCCAAGUCCCUCUUAAAAGUGCGGGGCUUAACCCCGUGAUGGGAAGGAAACUGGGAAGCUGGAGUAUCGGAGAGGAAAGUGGAAUUCCUAGUGUAGCGGUGAAAUGCGUAGAGAUUAGGAAGAACACCGGUGGCGAAGGCGACUUUCUGGACGAAAACUGACGCUGAGGCGCGAAAGCGUGGGGAGCAAACAGGAUUAGAUACCCUGGUAGUCCACGCCGUAAAC